GGGAGGCAUUUCAAUAUCUGAGAGCGAGUGUGGCUGCUGGAUGGAAGAUGGAUUAGGGAUUAGAAGACCCAGGUUGGAGUCACCCUGGGCUCAUACGAGUGCCAGCCACCAAAGAGAGAGCAUCUCUUGCACCUUGGCUGCUUCCUGAGGAGUGCUGGAGAGCCCCUUCUCCAGUUGGACAUAAAUCUUGACAAAAAAUGAUCAACGAAUGGCAACAAUAGCAAUGAAGCCAACACGGCUACCACGGGCUCUUCACCUUGUUCCUAUCUCCAGGAUUUAAUCCAUUGACACACAUUGGAAGAAAAAGAAAUUUCCGCAUCAACUCGGUUGGUGUUUUGAAAAUCUGAAUGCCAAUAAAUAGAAAAUUAAAUCACUAAGAAUUUUUAUGUAGGCAAUGUAUAAAGACAAUCUAGCUGGACAUUUACAUAAAAUAAAUAUCAAACCUUUUCCAUUUUA